CCUACGGGAGGCAGCAGUGAGGAAUAUUGGUCAAUGGGCGGGAGCCUGAACCAGCCAAGCCGCGUGAGGGAAGAAGGUACAGCGUAUCGUAACCCUCUUUUGUCAGGGAACAAAGGCGGGGACUAGUCCCCGGCUGAGGGUACCUGAAGAAAAAGCAUCGGCUAACUCCGUGCCAGCAGCGGCGGUAAUCCGGAGGAUGCGAGCGUUAUCCGGAUUUUUUGGGUUAAAAGGUGCCGCAGGCGGCCUGUUAAGGCAGCGGUAAAAGCCCGGGGCUAAACGCCGGCGAGCCGUUGAAACUGGCGGGCUGGAGUUGGAGAGAAGUACGCGGAAUGCGCGGUGUAGCGGUGAAAUGCUUAGAUAUCGCGCAGAACCCCGAUUGCGAAGGCAGCGUACCGGCUCCACACUGACGCUGAGGCACGAAAGCGUGGGUAUCGAACAGGAUUAGAUACCCGUGUAGUC
rnacentral:rRNA from 1 species